rnacentral:lncRNA from 1 species
AACUCUAAACCCUAAACACAUUGUAAUUGAAAAAAGGAAAUUACGAAAAAAAGGAAAAAAAUUGAGGAUAAAAAAAAGUAUGAAGUAAAAAAAAUUCAAAAAAAAAGUGAAGUGUUGGAAUUUUUGUUUAUUCAUUCUUUGUGUUUCCCGAUCAAGUGAGUUCCCCUACACCUUUACAAUCUAUCCCUUGAAACCAACUUGAAAACCGAC